rnacentral:rRNA from 1 species
UAGGGAAUAUUGCACAAUGGGGAAGACCCUGAUGCAGCGACGCCGCGUGAAGGAAGAAGUAUCUCGGUAUGUAAACUUCUAUCAGCAGGGAAGACAAUGACGGUACCUGACUAAGAAGCCCCGCUAACUACGUGCCAGCAGCCGCGGUAAUACGUAGGGCGAAGCGUUAUCCGGAUUUACUGGGUGUAAAGGGAGCGUAGACGGAUCUGCAAGUCUGGAGUGAAAGCCCGGGGCGUCAACCCAGGCCAGGCGUUUGGAAUUGAACUGUGGAUCUAGAGUGCCGGAGAGGUAAGCGGAAUUCCUAGUGUAGCGGUGAAAUGCGUAGAUAUUAGGAGGAACACCAGUGGCGAAGGCGGCUUACUGGACGGUAACUGACGUUGAGGCUCGAAAGCGUGGGGAGCAACAGGAUUAGAUACC